UUUCUUGUCUCUACCUGAAGGCUGAUGGUCUUUAAGUUCCAAUUUCCCUCUCCUGGUGGACUGUGUCCAGACAGCUUUCGCUCACAGAGCAGACGCUCUCCAGGUGAUCACCACCUCACAUGUGCCUCCUCUGCUAGACUGUAAGCUCCAUGUGGGCAGGAGCUGUGCUUCCACAUCUAGGCUGUGGCAUCAUGCCUGGCGCAUGAAAGGUAUUCAGAAACAUGUUGUGCAAUUAGAUAAAAAGUUCACCUAUGUACUGACCUAAGAGUGUGUCAAAACUAACUAGCGGAAAACUGCAAUGCACGGCAUGUUCUCUUUCUUCCAUCCCUCUGCUUUCCAAUCUGGGGACACUAGGGGUACUUGUGAGCAGCCUGGUCAUAGCUCUGGGAUACGUAGUUAGGAGUCUAGACACUUCCUCUAUUGGUCCAAGUUUUAAGAGUUGAUAUGAACAGGGUAAAGAGCUUAGGGCUAUGGGAUUCUCAAAGCUAUGAGUUCUUGGAAUGUGUAAGUAACGGGUAAUUGGCAACUUUUCCAGCCCAACAGACUUCUUCCCAUAUAAAGUAUAUUUCCACAGAGAGUGUUUUGUUGUUGUUGAUCAUGCCCGGGCAGUACUUAAAUCUCCACGGAAACCCCAGAGGAGGCCCUAAACCUUAUUUGUACCUGUUGUUCCCUUGACCUCCCACAUCUGGUUCUGUUCUAAAUUUCCACCAGUUUCCAAACGUCUGAGCAAGAGAUCAUGGCAGACAUUGUAGAUGUCUUGGCAAGUGUCUGGUUCUCCAUGGGUACUGAGUCCCUGACAGAGGUUUUCUAGAAAAAUGAUGUGCUCCUUAUCUAUUUGCUAAUUCCUUCCACAUAUCACAAGACUUUUCUGUAAAUUCCCAUCAGUCUUGACAAAGUUAUCUUGUAGACUUAUGUAGUGAUUUUGAUGGCUGCACAGAGCUGUUUGUCUUGUUCAGAACGAAAUUAAUAACACCACGAUGGCACCUACUUUAGCACCAAACUUCUUAAACUCUCCUAAUAUACUAAUCAGCAUGUCAGGGAAAUAUUUUUUUUCUGGAUAAAGACAAGCCUGGUGAAAUGGAUUAGACAUUCACACGGCAUUGCAUAAUUCAGCAUGCCAGGGCGGUGCAUACGAUUUGCAUUAAUAGCCAGCGCUGGAAGCUGCUGCUCAUAGGUUUCUCUCAUUAGGUCGAAUAUCGAAGAUUCCAGACUGUCAAUCAAUUACAGUAAUUUCCUUUUCCAUAUUUAUUCCAUCACUAUCAUUG
rnacentral:lncRNA from 1 species